UAAUAAAAAAUGAGAAUACGUUUGGGCUUCUAUGCCUGAACAUCAGUGCUGUUUAUCACCUGUUAGCACUUUUUGCAUCUCGGCCUCCUUGGUUUUUCCUUUGCGGGUGAGUAGCUACGUAUUACAGACAGUAAGGGGCGCCAUAAGACACAAAAAGGACAUUGUUACCAUUGCAGGAUCCUUAUUCAUUAGUGCACACAGGAGCACAACGUAGGCAAACAAUUUGCACUGGAAAACGAAAACGAGCGUUUCAUAUUGGACAACCUCAGGCAGUCCAUUUUCCUGUGUUUGGUACCUAAAUGAAUAGGCUGUAACCCGACUCAGCUGCUGCAAAGAUGGCGGACAGAAAUACCAGGAUGGAAGCAAAUGGACUCCUGAAACAACCAGCAAACCAGGUUCGUCUUGUGAAACGGUGGAUGUAAAGAAUCUAGCUAGGUAAAGCGUUUACUGCAAAUUGAAUGUACAAUUUUGUAAGCUUGCCUUGUGGAUAACGUAACUAGCUAACUAUGUUCUUGUUUAUUGGGCAGUGGAGGAUCAAAUCCCUGUAUACCUAUGGAUGUGUAGCUAGCUGUCUAGCUGAUCUGUGUAUGGACCCAAACGUUUGGUAUACAUAUUGGUUCAGAACCUAGAUAUGAACUUAAGGUUUCAUAGCCGGUUGUAUCAACUUCAAAACAGUCUGAAUGACAUUUAUGAAGCCUAUGGAUUGAGUAGAAUAUAAUAUAACUUUGUGCCAAGGAUGCAAGUCGUAUAUACAUGUAGCAUGAUAUCCCCACAUUGUAUCCUGUACAUUUAAUAUAUUCACUGAUCAUGUACUCUACCUUAGCAAAUAAAGGUGCGGUUCAGGUAUGAA